UUUUGUACAAAAUUCUUAUUAUAUUUGUAAGAACCAUGUCCAGUAGAAGUCAUUGUUUGAAAGCAGCUUGGAAUCGAAGAAAGCACCGGAACCACGGCGAAAUCAGUGGGAUCUAGCAUGUUGCAGCACACGGUUUGAAAAAGCAUGUGAUCAAACGAAGCAUCGGACAUCAUUGAUGAUAUACUUCUGAUAAGGGUGGUGUCUAAUUCCCAUUGAAAUUCAGCCAAGUGGCGGAUUUGCUACGUUCGGACUGAAUUUUGCAUUCGGACUGAUUGCAAGUAGUCACCCCGAACUAAAAGGUGGUUAAAAUGGCGGUGAGGGGAAACAUAAACGAAAUGGAAAGCGUGAGGGUGGUAGAGGACCAUGCCCAGAAGCCCUGUGGACCUGCUACACCUUCCUCUCAGCCCAGAUUGAGUGAGAAUGGCUUGCCAGACUGCUCCCCUCUCUGGUUCUCCCUGAAACCUGGGUGAGAGGGCAACAAACUGCACAGCGAACCAAGAUACACGCACGCAGACCGCAAACCAUCCACUCUGCAUAAUGUGCAUGAAAAUAAUAUGUGUAAUCACAGUCCAAGAAUACAUCCAGAAAGUCUCAUAGAAAGACAGACUCAUUUGGUUUGGUUUACUGUGUGCAGCAGAGUGCCAAGUGCAAGAGAUGGUGAAAGCUCAGCAAGGUUAGCAAGUGUAAUUGCAGACCUUUGUCUGCAUUCCAAAUGGCACCCUAUUCCUUUGUAUACUGUAAUGCACACAAGUAGUGGAC
ensembl:lncRNA